AUUGAACGCUGGCGGCAGGCCUAACACAUGCAAGUCGAGCGAGCGGCGGACGGGUGAGUAAUGUAUGGGGACUGCCCGAUAGAGGGGGAUAACUACCGGAAACGGUGGCUAAUACCGCAUACUAUCGGAUAACCCAUAUGGGAUUGGCUAGUAGGUGGGGUCACGGCUCACCUAGGCCACGAUCGCUAGCUGGUCUGAGAGGAUGACCAGCCACACUGGGACUGAGACACGGCCCAGACGCCUACGGAGGCAGCAGUGGGGAAUAGUGCACAAUGGGCGCAAGCCUGAUGCAGCCAUGCCGCGGGUAUGAAGAAGGCCUUAGGGUUGUAAAGUACUUUCAGCGGGGAGGCGUUACCCGCAGAAGAAGCACCGGCUAACUACGUGCAAGCAGCCGCGGUAAUUC
rnacentral:rRNA from 1 species